UACGUAGGGCGCAAGCGUUAUCCGAAAUUAUUGGGCGUAAAGAGCUCGUAGGCGGUUUGUUGCGUCGGCUGUGAAAUCCCGAGGCUCAACCUCGGGUCUGCAGUCGAUACGAGCAAACUAGAGUGUUGCAGGGGAGACUGGAAUUCCUGGUGUAGCGGUGAAAUGCGCAGAUAUCAGGAGGAACACCGGUGGCGAAGGCGGGUCUCUGGGCCACUACUGACGCUGAGAAGCGAAAGCAUGGGGAGCGAACAGG
rnacentral:rRNA from 1 species